rnacentral:lncRNA from 1 species
UCUGUCAGAACUCUGAGCCUAAGCUAAGCCAUUGCAUCCCCUGUGACUUGCAGGUAUAUGCCCAGAUGGCCUGAAUAACUGAAGAAUCACAAAAGAAGUGAAUAUGCCCUGCCCCACCUUAACUGAUGACAUUCCACCACAAAAGAAGUGUAAAUGGCCGGUCCUUGCCUUGAGUGAUGACAUUACCUUGUGAAAGUCCUUUUCCUGGCUCAUCCUGGCUCAAAAAGCUCCCCCACUGAGUACUUUGCGACCCCCACUCCUGCCUGCCAGAGAACAAACCCCCUUUGACUGUAAUUUUCCUUUACCCACCCA